ACAAGUCUACCGGGAAAUCCACCCGCCCAACGGGUGGGCGUCCGGUAGAAACUGGCCGGCUUGGAACCGGAAGGCUCAGAGAGUACGUCCGGGGUAGGAGUGAAAUCCCGUAAUCCCGGACGGACUACCGAUGGCGAAAGCACUCUGAGAAGACGGCUUCGACAGUGAGGGACGAAAGCUCGGGUCUCAAACCGGAUUAG
rnacentral:rRNA from 1 species